UACGUAGGUGGCAAGCGUUAUCCGGAAUUAUUGGGCGUAACGCGCGCGCAGGCGGUCCUUUAAGUCUGAUGUGAAAGCCCACGGCUCAACCGUGGAGGGUCAUUGGAAACUGGGGGACUUGAGUGCAGAAGAGGAGAGCGGAAUUCCACGUGUAGCGGUGAAAUGCGUAGAGAUGUGGAGGAACACCAGUGGCGAAGGCGGCUCUCUGGUCUGUAACUGACGCUGAGGCGCGAAAGCGUGGGGAGCGAACAGG
rnacentral:rRNA from 1 species